rnacentral:rRNA from 1 species
CUACGGGUGGCAGCAGUGAGGAAUAUUGCACAAUGGGGGGAACCCUGAUGCAGCAACGCCGCGUGGAGGAUGACGCAUUUCGGUGUGUAAACUCCUUUUAUCAGAGAAGAACAUGACGGUAUCUGAUGAAUAAGCUCCGGCUAACUCCGUGCCAGCAGCCGCGGUAAUACGGAGGGAGCAAGCGUUAUUCGGAAUCACUGGGCGUAAAGGACGCGUAGGCGGGACAGUAAGUCAGGUGUGAAAUCCAAUGGCUCAACCAUUGAACUGCACUUGAAACUGCUGACCUAGAGUACUGAAGGGGCAGAUGGAAUUAGUGGUGUAGGGGUAAAAUCCGUAGAUAUCACUAGGAAUACCGAAAGCGAAGGCGAUCUGCUGGGAAGUUACUGACGCUGAGGCGUGAAAGCGUGGGGAGCAAACAGGAUUAGAUACCCCGGUAGUC